rnacentral:lncRNA from 1 species
GGUAGAGAAUAGCCUCUGGAGUUCUCGUGACUUCCUGUGGAGAGGGCUAGAGUUCAGUUCGAUCCUGGAGCUUGAGCUUGGAGGAGCCCCACAGACAGCUGUCCUUCAGACAGGUCAUGGAACAGGGAGCCUCACCUAGGAUAUGAUAAUCACUUCAAAUCUCAUCACCAUGUUGAUUGACUCAGUUUCCAAUACUCAAAAUUUUCUCAACUUCCUCAAUUGUCUCUUCCAAAGACUGGAGGGCUUGACAUCAGUAAACACAGCCAUGUGGUUUGGAAUGAGUGGCAGCAGGGGGAAGAAAGGAAAGAGGGACCAGAUGUCAGAACCAGGCAUACAGCAGAAAAAAGGAGAAAAGACUCCCAAAACGAGUUCAUGCCCAGAAAAAAGAAGAAGGUGAUUAGGAAUACAAAUGCCUUUGGUUGCAUUUCUCUUCAACCAUGUCAGCAAUGGCGAACAUUGUCAGAGGUAGCAGAGGCAUGUCAUUGCCACACAGAGCAAGCAUCUAGAAAGCCGUGGGACUUGCCACAGAGUAAAAUGGCGCCCUUAAAGAUUCUGCCCCUGUUAUUCUGCCCUCUCUGCUGUGUGAAUCUCAAAUGAAUGGGCCUUCAUUGCUUCCAUGAAAGACUUUGACUGACCAUAAAAUUCAGCACACUUUCCCUAUUUUUUUGCAUCAUCUUCACGCCAUUGUUACUCAAAAUAAUGUGUUCUUUUGCUGUUGAUAAAUAGCUGUAAAUCCCCAUUAGACUGGGCUGCAUUUAUAUUUGACAGGUUUCUUUUUCUCUGGAUUUUAUUGAUAGUUUUGGAAGAUCUGCCUCACCUUAGUUUGCCUCUUGUCCUCAUAAAGACCUGCCUCUUCCUGAAAGUGAUUUCUUUGCCUCUCUCUCCUCUAAACCUCUACUGACCCUCUCACCCA